rnacentral:rRNA from 1 species
UAACGCGUGAGUAACCUGCCUUACACAAGGGGAUAGCCUCUGGAAACGGAGAAUAAUACCCUAUGAAACUAUCUUAUCGCAUGAAAAGAUAGUCAAAGUGCUUUAGCGGUGUAAGAUGGACUUGCGUCUGAUUAGCUAGUUGGUGAGAUAACAGCCCACCAAGGCAACGAUCAGUAGCCGGCUUGAGAGAGUGUACGGCCACAUUGGGACUGAGACACGGCCCAG